GGACAUAAAGGUUCUUGAUUUAGUUGAUGUUAAAUGAAUCAAGGAAAAAGUAAACAACGAGUUUCAGGAUCUGAGAGGAUUACAAAAUAGAAGAGGAAGAACAAGGUUACAUCGGAGUAUCAGGAGAUGCUGCAAUUUUUGAAUCUUCAGUAGUGUAGCAGGAGAGAUCUUUUAUUGAAAAAAAAGUGAUAACAUUCGACUCAGCAUUCAGAAUGAGGUCAAUCAAGAACAGAAAAGUCAACCUAGUCCUCCAUAUAAAUGAUCAUAUACCCAGGGGUUGUGAACUAGUUUCAGGAAGCAAAACAGAAACGGAGUCCCGUAAUAACUCAAAUAUGCGAAUAUGUCAUGAGGAAUGCAAUAUAUGAGUAUCACUGGGUAUAUUCUCGUAUUUUUAAACCUAAUUGCAUGCGGGCUCACAGUUCGAGAAACAAAUGAUUUUAUGUUUAAAUGAAAGAUUUGAAAAAAGACCGAACACUGUUUUUUUGGCAAAAAAAGGUGCAGGUG